rnacentral:rRNA from 1 species
AGAGUUUGAUCCUGGCUCAGGAUGAACGCUAGCUACAGGCUUAACACAUGCAAGUCGAGGGGCAGCGGGUUGAAAGCUUGCUUUCAAUGCCGGCGACCGGCGCACGGGUGCGUAACGCGUAUCAAACCUGCCUCAUACUCGGGGAUAGCCUUGCGAAAGUAAGAUUAAUACCCGAUGUUGUUGCUUUCUCGCAUGGGAGAGUAACCAAAGAUUUAUCGGUAUGAGAUGGUGAUGCGUCCGAUUAGGUAGUAGGCGGGGUAACGGCCCACCUAGCCUUCGAUCGGUAGGGGUUCUGAGAGGAAGGUCCCCCACACUGGAACUGAGACACGGUCCAGACUCCUACGGGAGGCAGCAGUGAGGAAUAUUGGUCAAUGGGCGAGAGCCUGAACCAGCCAAGUAGCGUGCAGGAUGACGGCCCUCCGGGUUGUAAACUGCUUUUAGUUGGGAAUAAAAAAAGGGACUUGUCCCUUCUUGUAUGUACCUUCAGAAAAAGGACCGGCUAAUUCCGUGCCAGCAGCCGCGGUAAUACGGAAGGUCCAGGCGUUAUCCGGAUUUAUUGGGUUUAAAGGGAGCGUAGGCGGAUUGUUAAGUCAGCGGUUAAAGGGUGUGGCUCAACCAUGCAUUGCCGUUGAAACUGGCGAUCUUGAGUGCAGACAGGGAUGCCGGAAUUCGUGGUGUAGCGGUGAAAUGCUUAGAUAUCACGAAGAACUCCGAUCGCGAAGGCAGGUGUCCGGGCUGCAACUGACGCUGAGGCUCGAAAGUGUGGGUAUCAAACAGGAUUAGAUACCCUGGUAGUCCACACAGUAAACGAUGUAUACUCGCGGUUUGCGAUAGACAGUAAGCCGCCAAGCGAAAGCAUUAAGUAUACCACCUGGGGAGUACGCCGGCAACGGUGAAACUCAAAGGAAUUGACGGGGGCCCG